UGAAACUUGUCUUUGGGGCAAAAGGGAUGAAUAUGUUCAGUGGCAUUAUUCCAGCCUUGUACUUGAGAUAGCUUUUCUUCUACUCCCAUUUCAAGCAAGUGCUAUUACAAGCCACAUUUAGGCACAAACAAAGCAACUAAGAAAACAGAAAUAGGCAUUAUUUCAGGCCAUGAAAACAGAACAAGAUGCAGAUGGCCUUCUUCAAAAUCUGGCUUUCUUUCAAUGCAUGUCAGCACAGCUAUAUAUCUUUCUGAGCUACUGUGACAAGAACUGAGAAUAGAUGGAUGGCUGUUUUACUGCAGGUUUUGAUAGCAGUUUUGAGAGAUUAGGGCUGUUUUGGAAAGACAAGUUUCAGAGUCUGCUUUCUGAAGGUGCUUGAGAUUAGCAAGUAACUUUAGCAACUCUGAUAUCUCCUUCAGAGACGAUUGAAGGUUGAAGGAAAAUCAGUCAUGAAAGAGAAUUUAACUAAGUUUCUUAUCCCCUCAUGUUUGUUUAGGGAGGGCAUUUUCAGAGGACUGGCAGAGCCAACUUCAUAGGAUGCAUUUCAACAAUGAGAAAGGGCUGUGAUCAAAGGGAAUUAAUAUACUCUUAAACGUGAAACAUCUACACUGACAUAGCAUGUGGCCUCUUGCAUUGGCUGGAAAGAAAUGGAAUCAGCAGCCAACAAAGCAGGGAGAAGAGCUGAAGAUCUUACUGAAGAACUUACCAAAGAUCUUAAACUGAACAUUAAUGAUUUCUUAAUGGACAAAGACUGUUGAAGCUCUGGGACAGUGGUCACAAUAUUACCUACCCUGCUAGAAAUCAUUGUGUCUGGGAGACAGGAUCCACUGACAUAGCAGAGGCAAAGGAGUGGGACAUUCUGACCCAGCCAGGAACAGCACUAAGUCUCCAGGAGUGCUGUCUUCACAGAGGUAAAACUUCUUGCAGUAGGUCCUCAUGUGUUUUGUGCCAAAAGGCAGUCAUAACAACCUUUAAAAAACAAAAGGUAAUUUUAUGGCGUAGGAA
rnacentral:lncRNA from 1 species